AGUGAACGCUGGCGGUAGGCCUAACACAUGCCAGUCGAACGGCAGCACAGUAAGAGCUUGCUCUUACGGGUGGCGAGUGGCGGACGGGUGAGGAAUACAUCGGAAUCUACUUUUUCGUGGGGGAUAACGUAGGGAAACUUACGCUAAUACCGCAUACGACCUACGGGUGAAAGCAGGGGAUCUUCGGACCUUGCGCGAUUGAAUGAGCCGAUGUCGGAUUAGCUAGUUGGCGGGGUAAAGGCCCACCAAGGCGACGAUCCGUAGCUGGUCUGAGAGGAUGAUCAGCCACACUGGAACUGAGACACGGUCCAGACUCCUACGGGAGGCAGCAGUGGGGAAUAUAGGACAAUGGGCGCAAGCCUGAUCCAGCCAUACCGCGUGGGUGAAGAAGGCCUUCGGGUUGUAAAGCCCUUUUGUUGGGAAAGAAAAGCAGCAGGUUAAUACCCCGCUGUUCUGACGGUACCCAAAGAAUAAGCACCGGCUAACUUCGUG
rnacentral:rRNA from 1 species